rnacentral:rRNA from 1 species
GUCCACACUGUAAACGAUGAUUACUCGAUGUGUGCGAUACACAGCACGCGUCUUAGCAAAGCGAUAAGUAAUCCACCUGGGAGUACGCCGGCAACGGUGAAACUCAAAGGAAUUGACGGGGUCCGCACAAGCGGUGGAGCAUGUGGUUUAAUUCGAUGAUACGCGAGGAACCUUACCUGGGCUAGAAUGCCUUUGACAGGAUCAGAGAUGGUUUUUCCGCAAGGACAAGGAGCAAGGUGCUGCAUGGCUGUCGU